ensembl:lncRNA
GUAGCUAAUACAUGGAUAAUUUUUCCCCCUUGUACAGCUUGGAAAUAGGAUAUGAGAAAACUGGUGAGACAUGGUUUACUCCCUGGGUUCCUGUGCCUUCUUGGUUUGUACAACGUUCACCCCACCCCAAAUGCUAAGGAACGAGAUUUUUCAACACAGUGUGGUAUCACAAUGAGUCACUGGUAUGACUGCCUUUGCCAUGCUGAGUCACAGUUUCCGGCUCUGAGGUCGCCUCUAUGAGUCAUCUUCAAAAUGCUUGGGCCACUUUCAUCACCCCAGUCUUCUGUCCUUCCAGCAGGAAUGUCCAGGAAUUGUGUUACAGUUCUAGAUUUUGAAGCAUCUUUCAGAGUGUUUUGUUGUUUUGUUCAUAUGGUCUCCUAUAGUCCCAAUAAUUCUGUCAGAAGAAAUCUUGCAAAAAAAAAAAAAAAGAUUCUUGGAAGCUCCAGUGUUGUUUAGUCAAAGUCUGGUGGUGAACAACUAGAAAGCACAAAACAAAACCCUGGAAAGCAAACAAGUUUUUCAAUAGGCGGCGUGGUGGGGUGGGGUGGAGUGGGGUGGAGGAUGGGCAGGCAUUUGUGUCCCAGGUCUGCUAGUCCAUGCCUAUAAACCGCAUGACACAUGUGAAAAAUGCUUUCUAUUCUAGAGAGCAGCACCCAUUGCAAACUAAGUUUCUUUCUGCUUCGUUCAUUUUGUACAACACGGGUUAUUUAUUGGAAGGGUGUGGGGAGGCAUGGACACUAGAGAGAGAGAACUGUUACCAUAGCAGGAUCGGGGUCCAUAGGGAAGAACCCUGGUGUCUGAGCUCAGGCUGCAGAGAAGUGGACAGCUGCCCUGCUUCCGUUCUGUCACACAACGACAAAGGCUGGGAGUGCUAGAGAAAUCUGGUCGGAAACAACCACCCCCCUGCGGGAAACCGACAGGGAUUGUCAAUGGAGAAGAGAGCGCUGCUCUCCCUCCGCUGCCUGGAGUCUCCCUCUAGCGCCCUGAUUGGCAGAGCUUUUCAGGGCUCUGCAGCAGAGGCCCAGCUGCAGGAGGCGGACGGUGGUGAGCAGUGAGAGUCAAUAAUAGUUAGCUCCACCAACACUCGCGCGCUCACACACUCAUAUGGUCUGUCUUGUUCCCUGGGUUGCCUCCGAGCUUAGAAAGAUUCCUGGUAUAAAACGCAGGCAAUAAACAUUUGUUGUUGGAGGUGGGGAAAGGGCAAGCAAACUACGCUAGCUGAUCUCCAGUCUGCAUUGACAGGCAAGAAGAGUUCAAAAUAACCUUGACUGUCCUGCCAGUAUCUAAGCUCGUUUCCAGCUCUAUUUAUACUUCUCCCAGUUGCCUGACGGCGGCGCGGUCAGAGAUAGCAUAGACUAGGGCUCUGGAGCAAUGCCGGUCCAGAUGAAAAGCCCUGCUCCACUACUAGCUGAGGGGCUUGGACACUUAGUAUCUGAGGCUUGUUCUCCUCCUCUAUAAAAUGCAGGUAUUGCUGCUGUGGGGUUUAAAUAAGGCAAUCGUAUCUGGCACGUGUUUGUCACAAGCUACACGCCACUCUUCCCUCCCCCCCCCAUAACCCAGGGCGAUGGGCAGUUGAGGUGUGUGUGUGUGUGUGUGUGUGUGUGUGUGUGUGUGUGUGUGUGUGUGUGUGUGUGUGUGUGCGCGCGCGCGCGCGCGCGCGUGCGCGCGAGGUUCUAGUUUCCCUCCCCAGCUCCCAAGCUCUAACCGAGGUCCAAGCCCGAGGGACAUGGAGAGACGUGGAUUCGCUGGUGGCGGCCAGGCAGGCCAAUGGCUGGAGCACCGCGGCCAGGCGGGCCACGGCCCAGGCUCUACAGAUCAGGACAGUCCUUGGACUGGAGUUUCCUAACCGCCCUAUUGCGAGUUUCCUAACAGCGGAGUUUCAAAGCCAGCUCCCUCCCUCCUGAAACAAACGAGGGUGUGGCGGUUCCUCGCAUUCACAACCAAACAAAACAAGGAGAGCACCCACCCCCUAGCCUCGCCCAGCUCCGGACAUUUUCCCAGGAGCCGGGUGCAGCCGAGCUGCGGACACACCCUACGGCUGCUGCGCGCCCCAGAGCCAGGGUUCAGCCCCCUCCAAGGUCCGGCCUCCGGAUUGCAGCCUGGGAAGCGGAAGCCCGGGGAAUGAGAAAGGAGCUUCUCGUUCCUUCUCCAAGCCGCUUUCAUCACGUCCACUCUCGAGGUACUGCUGGUGAAGAAGACAAACGCCUCUUCUCGGUUCCGAAGAUCCUGUCUUUGUGUCUGUGGAAGUUCCUUUCUCGGUCGCCAACCAUCAGUGCCAUCCCCAGCGGGUCUUUCCAGCUGGAUUGUCGCCACCUCGUGGCAGGAUCAGGUGGCCACAUUGGCCGUUGCCCCUCGAGCCCUUUGCUAUCAUGGGUCCCAAGUCUACUUUUCUUUGUUUCUCCAACCAGCUAUGAGCUGGAAUUUUAUAAUCCUGCUCUCUGGGUUUAGGAGGUGAGGUGGGAUACCUCUGCCCCACCCACCCCAGUUACACCGCUCGCCUUCUUAAAGAGAAACAAGUGUUAUUCCGGGAGCCAGGAGUGACCGGAUUGGCAAGCCCGUGGGGGCUCCGUGUGAGGCGUCAAUCCCCCACCAAUUUCCCAAGAGACAAACUAAUGAUUAAGACGACCGACGCACUCUGUCUUGUUCCUACUGGUUAGUGAUGCUAUUAUACUUGAUGAGUAUUAUUAAAGGACCCCUGUCAUUAAAGAC